GGCCGCGUGGCCCAAUGGCAAGGCGCUUGACUACGAUUAAAAAAUUGGAAUCAAGAGAUUGCAGGUUCGAUCCCUGCCGCGGUCA